AGCCAGACUCCUACGGGAGGCAGCAGUGGGGGAUAUUGCACAAUGGGGGAAACCCUGAUGCAGCAACGCCGCGUGAGUGAAGAAGGUCUUCGGAUUGUAAAGCUCUGUUCUUGGUGAAGAUAAUGACGGUAGCCAAGGAGAAAGCUCCGGCUAACUACGUGCCAGCAGCCGCGGUAAUACGUAGGGAGCGAGCGUUGUCCGGAAUUACUGGGUGUAAAGGGAGCGUAGGCGGGACGGCAAGUCAGAUGUGAAAACUGAGGGCUCAACUUUCAGACUGCAUUUGAAACUGCUGUUCUUGAGUGAAGUAGAGGUAAGCGGAAUUCCUAGUGUAGCGGUGAAAUGCGUAGAUAUUAGGAGGAACAUCGGUGGCGAAGGCGGCUUACUGGGCUUUUACUGACGCUGAGGCUCGAAAGCGUGGGGAGCAAACAGGAUUAGAUACCCCAGUA
rnacentral:rRNA from 1 species